UACGAAGGGGGCUAGCGUUACUCGGAUUGACUGGGCGUAAAGGGCGCGUAGGCGGUUUGUACAGUCAGACGUGAAAUUCCUGGGCUCAACCUGGGGGCUGCGUUUGAUACGUGCGGACUUGAGUUCGGAAGAGGGUCGUGGAAUUCCCAGUGUAGAGGUGAAAUUCGUAGAUAUUGGGAAGAGCACCGGUGGCGAAGGCGGCGACCUGGUCCGAUACUGACGCUGAGGCGCGAAAGCGUGGGGAGCAAGCAGG
rnacentral:rRNA from 1 species